AGCGAACGUUAGCGGCGGGCCUAACACAUGCAAGUCGAGCGAGAAAGUGGCUUCGGCCAUCAGUAAAGCGGCGGACGGGUGAGUAACACGUAGGUAAUCUUCCCUUGAGCGGGGGACAACGUUUCGUAAAGGAACGCUAAUACCGCAUAAGUUUCCGUAGGACUCUGGUUCUUUGGAAGGAAAGCUAGGUCGCAAGAUCCGGCACUCGAGGAGGAGCCUGCGUCGCAUCAGCUAGUUGGGGGGUAAUGGCCUACCAAGGCGAAGACGCGUAGCUGAUCUGAGAGGAUGAUCAGCCACACUGGGACUGAGACACGGCCCA
rnacentral:rRNA from 1 species